rnacentral:rRNA from 1 species
GAGUUUGAUCAUGGCUCAGAUUGAACGCUGGCGGCAGGCCUAACACAUGCAAGUCGAGCGGAUGACGGGAGCUUGCUCCUUGAUUCAGCGGCGGACGGGUGAGUAAUGCCUAGGAAUCUGCCUGGUAGUGGGGGACAACGUUUCGAAAGGAACGCUAAUACCGCAUACGUCCUACGGGAGAAAGCAGGGGACCUUCGGCCUUGCGCUAUCAGAUGAGCCUAGGUCGGAUUAGCUAGUUGGUGGGGUAAUGGCUCACCAAGGCGACGAUCCGUAACUGGUCUGAGAGGAUGAUCAGUCACACUGGAACUGAGACACGGUCCAGACUCCUACGGAGGCAGCAGUGGGGAUAUUGGACAAUGGGCGAAAGCCUGAUCCAGCCAUGCCGCGUGUGUGAAAGAAGGUCUUCGGAUUGUAAAA